AGAGCGCGUAGGCGGGUCCGGUAAGUCUGCCGUGAAAGCCAGGGGCUCAACCCCUGGAUGCCGGUGGAUACUGUCGGGCUAGAGUCCGGAAGAGGCGAGUGGAAUUCCUGGUGUAGCGGUGAAAUGCGCAGAUAUCAGGAAGAACACCUAUGGCGAAGGCAGCUCGCUGGGACGGAACUGACGCUGAGGCGCGAAAGGGUGGGGAGCAAACAGGAUUAGAUACCCUGGUAGUCCACGCCGUAAACGAUGGGCACUAGGUGUGGGAGGUGUCGACUCCUCCCGUGCCGCAGCUAACGCAUUAAGUGCCCCGCCUGGGGAGUACGGCCGCAAGGCUAAAACUCAAAGAAAUUGACGGGGGCCCGCACAAGCAGCGGAGCAUGUGGUUUAAUUCGACGCAACGCGAAGAACCUUACCUGGGCUUGACAUGUCCGCGACCGGCGUGGAAACACGUCUUCCCUUCGGGGCGCGGUCACAGGUGGUGCAUGGCUGUCGUCAGCUCGUGUCGUGAGAUGUUGGGUUAAGUCCCGCAACGAGCGCAACCCUCAUCGCAUGUUGCCAGCGGUUCGGCCGGGGACUCAUGCGCGACUGCCGGUGACAAACCGGAGGAAGGUGAGGAUGACGUCAAGUCAUCAUGCCCCUUAUGUCCAGGGCUACACACGUGCUACAUUGGCCGGUACAAAGGGCUGCAAGACCGCGAGGUGGAGCGAAUCCCAUAAAGCCGGUCUCGGUUCGGAUUGGAGGCUGAAACUCGCCUCCAUGAAGGCGGAGUUGCUAGUAAUCGCGGAUCAGCAAUGCCGCGGUGAAUACGUUCCCGGGCCUUGCAC
rnacentral:rRNA from 1 species